GAGAUUUCAUUCGCACUAGUGAUAGCUAGUUUUUCCGGAAAGAUAUAAAAGUGUGGGGGAAAAUAUAAUUUAUAAUAUGAGUUAUUAUACAUGUAUAUAUUUCACUAAUUUUUUUGAGGAUAAGCUCAAAAAAAAGUUAAGAGGUUUAUUAAUUAAAUUUGCUGUGUGGACUUAAAAUUGGUCAGCACAAAAGUUUUUUAUAAAAUAGCGAUUCUAGUUUUAUAAAUAAGUAUAAUUUGAACUAACUUUUUACGGAAAUAAGAGCUUUAACUUAAAUAAGUUUUAUGCCUAUGCUAGAAUAAGUAUUAAAACUAAAUUAUAAGAGAAGUAUUUAUAUCUUCUUUUUAAAAAAAUUGAAAAAACUAAUUAACUGGAAGGAAUUCGGCAAGUUUAGUUGUUUCGCCUGUUUAUCAAAAACAUGGCUCUUUGAUUAUAUAAAAUAUAAAGAGUCGAGCCUGCCC
rnacentral:rRNA from 1 species